AUCGAGCCUAGAGUCACUAGCUAAUAACUUCAAUUAUUUUCUAGUGCUACAGGUAACUCGAAGAACAAAAUAUCACCUUAUGCCCUAUUUUAACUAUUUUGUGUGUAAAAUAGGCACCAAGCUGAUAACAAUUA